AUGGCUGCCCUCAGACCCCUGGUGAAACCCAAGAUGGUCAAAAAAAGGACCAAGAAGUUGAUCCAGCACCAGUCAGACCGAUGUGUCAAAAUUAAGUGUAACUGGUGGAAGCCCAGAGGUAUUGACAACAGGGUGUGUAGAAGAUUCAAGAGCCAGAUCUUGAUGCCCAACAUUGGUUACGGGAGCAACAAGAAAACAAAGCACAUGCUGCCUAGUGGCUUCCGGAAAUUUCUGGUCCACAAUGUCAAGGAGCUGGAAGUGCUGCUGAUGUGCAACAAAUCUUAUUGUGCUGAGACUGCUCACAACGUUUCCUCCAAGAAUCGCAAAGCCAUUGUAGAAAGAGCAGCCCAGCUAGCCAUCAGAGUCACCAAUCCUAAUGCCAGGCUGUGCAGUGAAGAAAAUGAAUAGACAGCUCAUGUGCACGUUUUGUGUUUAAAUAAAACCAUAAAAACUGCCAUC